rnacentral:rRNA from 1 species
CCGAUAGUGAACCAGUACCGUGAGGGAAAGGCGAAAAGAACCCCGGCGAGGGGAGUGAAAAAGAACCUGAAACCGUGUACGUACAAGCAGUAGGAGCCCACUAGUUGGGUGACUGCGUACCUUUUGUAUAAUGGGUCAGCGACUUAUAUUCUGUAGCAAGGUUAACCGUAUAGGGGAGCCGCAGGGAAACCGAGUCUUAACUGGG